rnacentral:rRNA from 1 species
CUGUUAUCCAACCUUNGCUUAAAGUCUAUAUUUUAGCAGAUAGGAUUUCUGCCCAUGUCGUAAUUUAUUAGCGGCCCGCAGUACCUUGACUGUGCUAAGGUAGCAUAAUCAAUUGGCUUUUAAUUAUAGUCUGGAAUGAACGGAUUAAUGGGGAAGAACUAGUCUCUUUUUAAUUUUAUUGAAAUUUUUUAUUAAGUGAAAAUACUUAUAUUUAGAUAAAAGACGAGAAGACCCUUAGAAUUUUUAUUGAAAUGUAACUAAAACCAUAAAUUUUUGUAUGGGGCGACAGUAAAUCAUAUUAAACAUUUAAAAGUUUACAUGACAAUUAGAUUUAUAAGAGUAUAAUUACCUUAGGGAUAACAGCAUAAUUUUUUAUAAAGUUUGUGACCUCGAUGUUGGACUGGAGGGAACUUAAUAACUAACCGUUAAACAUAGAGUGUUCUGUUCGAACAUGGUCCUACUCCUACGUGAUCUGAGUUCA